rnacentral:rRNA from 1 species
GAACUGAAGAGUUUGAUCCUGGCUCAGAUUGAACGCUGGCGGCAUGCCUUACACAUGCAAGUCGAACGGCAGCGCGGGGGCAACCCUGGCGGCGAGUGGCGAACGGGUGAGUA